UAGAUUUCAGCCUAGAUAUCCUUUGAUUUUCGAAAUCCCCAAAUCUUUCGAAAACCUAGAUUAGUUGCUUGGUUGAAGCGGUUGUUCAGAGGCUUAUAUGGUGUUCAGCUGGUGGUUCAGAGCACAACGAAUUAGGCCAAGAUGGUGGGAAACGAAUGGGUCUGAACUUUGAUAGAGUGAAGAACUGCUGCACUGAGUUUGGGAGGUUCAAACUCUUCUACAACAACCGCUACUUGAAGAUUUGGAUGCUGCAGACCUCCAAUUCAAAGAUAUAG
rnacentral:lncRNA from 1 species